rnacentral:rRNA from 1 species
CAGCCGCCGCGGGAAUACGUAGGUCCCGAGCGUUGUCCGGAUUUAUUGGGCGUAAAGCGAGCGCAGGCGGUUAGAUAAGUCUGAAGUUAAAGGCUGUGGCUUAACCAUAGUAUGCUUUGGAAACUGUUUAACUUGAGUGCAGAAGGGGAGAGUGGAAUUCCAUGUGUAGCGGUGAAAUGCGUAGAUAUAUGGAGGAACACCGGUGGCGAAAGCGGCUCUCUGGCUUGUAACUGACACUGAGGCUCGAAAGCGUGGGGAGCAAACAGGAUUAGAUACCCCUGUAGUCCCUGUCUCUUAUACA